GGCAUCCAGCAGGAGUCAGAGUGGCCCAAAAUGAGGCAUUCUUGAGUACAGUUGUCAGAGGCUUCUUCCAGAGUUGGCUGCACUGUUAUUUCUGCAGCUUUUUUUAGUACAGGAAUGAAAUUAG